rnacentral:rRNA from 1 species
UACGUAGGGUGCGAGCGUUACUCGGAAUUACUGGGCGUAAAGCGUGCGCAGGCGGUUUUGUAAGCCAGAUGUGAAAUCCCCGGGCUUAACCUGGGAAUGGCAUUUGGGACUGCAAGGCUUGAGUGCGGCAGAGGAGACUGGAAUUCCUGGUGUAGCAGUGAAAUGCGUAGAUAUCGGGAGGAACACCAGUGGCGAAGGCGGCGAUCUGGGUCGAUACUGACGCUGAGGUGCGAAAGCGUGGGGAGCAAACAGG